AGAUGGUCUCGCGUCUGAUUAGCUAGUUGGUGAGGUAACGGCCUACCAAGGCGACGAUGCGUAGCCGACCUGAGAGGGUGAUCGGCCACAUUGGGACUGAGACACGGCCCAGACUCCUACGGGAGGCAGCAGUGGGGAAUAUUGCACAAUGGGGGGAACCCUGAUGCAGCAACGCCGCGUGAGUGAUGAAGGUUUUCGGAUCGUAAAGCUCUGUCUUUGGGGAAGAUAAUGACGGUACCCAAGGAGGAAGCCACGGCUAACUACGUGCCAGCAGCCGCGGUAAUACGUAGGUGGCGAGCGUUAUCCGGAUUUACUGGGCGUAAAGGGAGCGUAGGCGGAUGAUUAAGUGGGAUGUGAAAUACCCGGGCUCAACUUGGGUGCUGCAUUCCAAACUGGUUAUCUAGAGUGCAGGAGAGGAGAGUGGAAUUCCUAGUGUAGCGGUGAAAUGCGCAGAGAUUAGGAAGAACACCAGUGGCGAAGGCGACUCUCUGGACUGUAACUGACGCUGAGGCUCGAAAGCGUGGGGAGCAAAACAGGAUUAGAUACCCUGGUAGUCCACGCCGUAAACGGAUGAAUUCUAGGUGUGGGGGUUUCAACACCUCCGUGCCGCCGCUAACGCAUUAAGUAUUCCGCCUGGGGAGUACGGUCGCAAGAUUAAAACUCAAAGGAAUUGACGGGGACCCGCACAAGUAGCGGAGCAUGUGGUUUAAUUCGAAGCAACGCGAAGAACCUUACCUACACUUGACAUCUGCCUGACCGUUCCUUAACCGGAGCUUUCCUUCGGGACAGGCAAGACAGGUGGUGCAUGGUUGUCGUCAGCUCGUGUCGUGAGAUGUUGGGUUAAGUCCCGCAACGAGCGCAACCCUUGUCGUUAGUUACUACCAUUAAGUUGAGGACUCUAGCGAGACUGCCUGGGUUAACCAGGAGGAAGGUGGGGAUGACGUCAAAUCAUCAUGCCCCUUAUGUGUAGGGCUACACACGUGCUACAAUGGCUGGUACAGAGAGAUGCAA
rnacentral:rRNA from 1 species